GGAAAGGUCACUUUCAGGCUUCCCCUUUGCUCUAGCUGCUGGCUCCUCCCCGUCUCAUCCAGGGUGGGAGUCAGAGGGAAAGGCUUUCAUGAAAAUGAGUCUUCAGGUCGGCCGACCAGUCUCUGGGAGGCACCCACAGAGCCCAUCCUGGUGCUGAAGGAGCUGUGUGUGCCAGCCUUGGUGCUGCCCGGGGAGGUUCUUGCCGGGUUCUGAACGCCAGGGCCAAGGGAGGCCAGGAGGGCCAUGCCAGAGGGAUAUCAGUGGGAGUGAUGCUGUUGCGGGGGAAGGCCUCUCUUGAUUUGCCCUACUUGGCAUGCUGUGCCUUCCCAAGAGGCACGGCCUUAAAGCUGGUCUUUCUCCUGGUCCUCAGACUCAGCACAGUCAAGUCAUGUGGGAUCUUCGUUCCUUGACUGGGGAUUGAACCCAUGCCCCCUGCAUUGGAAGCACAGAGUCUUAACCACUGGACCACCAGGGAAGUCCCACAAUAAAUACUUGUUGAAUGAAUGAAAGAAUGAAUUGUCUGCAAGCCCAGCCCAAGGCAGAGUUUGCAGAUGCAUUGCUUAUGGGGAUGAGGGUAAUACCCAAGUCACUCAGAGUUGUCAGGGUGUAGCCAGGGGCCUGAGCGAAGCUGGCCCCAGGAUGUCUGCCACCUGCCGGAGGCCGGGCGUGUGCGUGGGCACUUCCUCCAGCAGCCCUGCCCCAGGCCCCUGCACAGGCCUAGCCGUCAUGUUCCACCACUCCCUCUGCUUCAUCAUAGUAACAAUGCACUGGUCACAGCGGAAAUCAUGUGUCCAGCCACUGUCUCUCUCCAAGGACUGUGAACUCCAUGAGGAGGGUAGGGCAGUACCUGUUUCAUUCACUCCUGCAUCCCUACCGUGUAACUCAG